GCGCUUGUUGUAUAGUGGUUAGUAUGCUGGCUUCCCAAGCCAGCGACCCGGGUUCGAAUCCCGGCAAGCGCA
rnacentral:tRNA from 1 species